GGAGGAAUGACCGCUCCCCACAUCAAAUGGGGGGCGUACUUUGCAUGGAUGUGUGCAGCACCCCUGAUCCCACAUGGCUCCUAGCAGUUUUGCCUGGCAUCGCGCCCCCCAGCUGGAUACCUGGAGGUUUCCGCCCAACUUCAGACAGUCAACCAAUCCCAGUGGGGGAGGCGUUGCCAAGGGGAGUUGGCGAGGUAGGGGGUGACACUUCCCCACCCACACAAUAGAUGGUGGAACUUACCUGGGGGAUCAGAGUCAGCUCCAGAGCUUCGCGAGUGGACAUCACUGGAAUUCAUCCUACAUCUGGAGAGGUGAGACUGGGGCCCAACCCUUAGUAGCCUGGCUGGGUGGGCUGCGAGGAAGGCCUUGCCACAUCGUGCAGCCUUCUCCUCUCCCCCCCAUGCCUGUUUUGGCCCCUUGGGGGGUGGAGGUGGCAGAAGGGGCCUCCCGCCCGUUUCCCGUGAUUCUGGGGGGCUGGGCAGGCUGGGGGGGGCUUGCCACGUGGGAACCGGUCUUGGAUUGGGGUGGUCUCUGCCUGUCCAUGCAAUGACAUACAAUGGCUACCCGUCUUGAGAGACAAGGAGGAAAGAGAAUCGGUUGUCUGGAUUUUCGCAAUGACAUAAAAGGACAUGGUCAUGGCUGUCAGUAAGAAGGAAGGGAAGGGAAGGGAAGGGAAGGGAAGGGAAGGGAAGGGAAGGGAAGGGAAGACACAGAGAGUGCUCCUAUGAUGGAUAGAUGUUGGGUCAUCCUCCUGGAGACCCUGCAACCAAUCAUGGCAAGGUGGAGAAACAACCAAGCAGGAGGGAGUGGGGAGUCAAAAGGUAGAAUGUGAGAGUUUAACUGCCAGAUAGAACUUGGCUUAGGAUGUAGCUGGGUGCUUAGGGGUUUCUUAGGCAGGACAAACUCAUUUAAUUUCUUUAGGACAGUAGUUCUCAAACAUUUUCCCUCUGGGCCACACUUUCAGAAUGAAGAUUGGAUCACAUCACACGAAAUUUUUAAUCGAUAAGUGGGAUCAUCUUUAAGGAUGCUCCUGGUUGCGGGCAGGCCCCCAGGCUGGUUCCUCCCGCUCCUGGCGUGGGCGGAGUAAUGCCGUCAUGCCAGGGUGGCACCACGAUCACCCCGGCUUCUUGGCCAAUCACUUUUGUGUGGGGUGAUAUAAAAGCGGCAGCAUGACGUGUGUCAGGCACCUACUUCCAAACUUGCAAAACAUGUCUUUGUUUAAAGUAUUGUUUUAUUAAUGGCUGGAGAGGAAGGAGGACAAUGUUCUUUUAAAAGGGGGGGGGGAUCCUGUGUCCCUGUAUACAGCCUUUAAAUUAUGGGCAUGUUGGUUCAUGGUCAACCUUUGUGCUGCAUUAACUGUUGAAUCAGAUCAAUUUCUGUGAGUCAUGGAGUUUCACAGGAAUGUCUUUCCGCUCUUCCUCCACUAUGCAUCUUCUAGGAAACAGCAAUAUAAAGCUGUCAAUGCCUCUAAAAAUAUAUGUUUCUAUUUGCUUUUGGUGGACUUGAGAUUGCUCCGCAGCCAUCCUUGUUUGCUCUUUUGUUCACAAGCACUAAUAUGCCCAGAAUAAAACAAAAGACCAGGUAAAAAUGUCUGGUCAGUACCUUGAAAAUAAUAAAUAGUACUUCAGCAGAUUUUCACCUGUUAUAAGACUACUGUUUACCUAAACAAAGCUGAGGGGAAAUGUGACUAGAAGAGAAUAACUAUUUUCCCAAUUGAGCUAAGAUCCCAUGUAACAUAUGGACCAACUGAGUUAGAAAUGUCUAAGAGUACUCAUUUCUCUGUAUUUCCAUUAAAAAUGCCUCCUAAGGAAGAAUUUCCCAAUUAUCUAUAGGGCACAAACAUAGAAAAAUAUAGGUGGAAAGUCAAAGAUUUAUAAUUAUUAUAAUUUUUGAUUUAAUGCUGGAGUGAGGCACCCCAGAUACAGAGGGCUGGAUAUAGCCCAGAGCUAGAUUUCAUACUGCUUUUUCAGUCUCCAUCUGACCACCUGCCUUUCAGCAGGGAGGGGAAAGGGCUUUGAUGUUGUACAGGUUGUUCAAACUGAAGCUUUUUUUCUCCCUAGAAGUUCUAUCACAAGCAGAUUAAAGCAGGGGGCAAAUUUCUCUGCAGACUUGUGUUCCUCACAAAUAUACCAAAAGUAAUUUAUGCAUUCUGCCACUGAUAAAUGCAAUUGCAUUUUAAAAUUUAUGACUUUAAAUAUUUGUAAGUUGGGACUUGCAGUUCAUCUGUGCGUUGGCCUUAUUUCCAUUCUUCUGCAAGUAUUACCAAGAUCUUUUUAUCUCCCCCCUCCCAAACAGGAUAUUUAUCUAUCUAUCUAUCUAUCUAUCUAUCUAUCUAUCUAUCAUCUAUCUAUCUAUCAUCUGGAGUUAUGAAGAACUAAAUAUAUGCCUUGGUUUCCAUGGGGAAGAGCUAUGUUAGGGUUGCCAUACACCCAGAAUUUCCCUGACAUAUCCGGAAUACUGCAGUCAGUGUUGGUGCCUGGGUACAUGGAGCUGGACCUCGCUGGGCUUCUUGCACCAGCUUGGAAAACACCAGGCAGUUGCGUUCUCCCCCACAAGCAACCCUCAGGAUGAUUCAUAGCUCUUCUUUCCCGAUGCGCUUCUGCGACAUAUAUCCGAAGACAUAUGCACACAACACGUUAGCAGAGUCCAAGCAGAAGCUAGGCAUUGGUGGUGUGGGUUUCUAAGCUACUUUAUUAUGUACAAAACAGAACAAAAGAAAACAUGGCUCCUAUCUCCUUCUUCAUCUCCGAGAGAGCAGAAAAGCAAAAGUACAACAUAACGGAACAGUGUAACUGAACUUCCGUUCUCAUGACUCCAACAGUAUGGAAUGUCAACACAGACAUGUGAUGAAAACAAUCACACAUCCUGCAAUGGGAGGAAUGAAAUCACAACAGUUGGCAGCAGUGUCCAGGUGGAAAUCAGGUAAAUGUCUGGGAAAAUCCGGACAUAUGGCAGCCCAUAUCAGCAGUGUCUUUUUGAUCCAGAGUUUUGAUCCAGUAGAGGAAUCCCAAUAUUAGUGGGGGGCAGAGGACUCUUUUGAUGAUUCCUCCCCCUUAAUGCCACCUCCCAUUCUGUUCUAAAGAGUCCCAUUGAAGGUUACAAAGGGAGGGGGAAACUGGCAAAGGUCACCUUCCCUCUCUUUCCGCCCAGUGGAAGCAUCCCUUAGUAUAACUCUGCUCUGGCAAUGCUACUGUUGUUUGAAGCAAAGUGUGAAUCCAGUCCCAUAUCUGCUGCCAGAGCCUGCUCCAUGGGUUCCAAUUCUGGGGUUCUAAAAUAUGAUGUUCUGGCUGGGGAAGGAAGCUCACAGACCCACUGCCCAGCACUAACUCUACCUGGUGAUACUCUGAGUUUUUCCACAAUGCCCACCGCCACUUCCUCACUGAGUAUCAUAACCCACUUUCGGUUGUUACCCAUUACCAUGUGCCACCAUUUUAAAUCUAUAGUGGAUGUCAUUGUUUAGCAAGGACACCAAGCCUUUGACCAUUCCAAAGCUGUUUUCACUUUUGUCCAUUAGCUUUGCAAACUCUGCUGCUCAGACCUUUUAUCCUUCUCAAGUUCCUAGUCCUUGGUGAAUAGACACUAUUUGAUAGAAUUGAGAUAUACUUUAUAUAAAACGGUCCAACAGGGCUGAUCACUACAGUGCAGCAUCAGUGAUCCCUAAAACCCCCAAAGCAGAAAGGGUGCAUAAAAGGAUAACCACGGUUGUCAACUUGUCUCAUAAAAGAAAGUGUGAACAACAUGAGCAUUAAAUAAUGAUUUCUGACAGUCCAAGGCAUUUUGUUUAAGACAAAGAAUUCAUCUUUAAAGUUUAUAACACUAUUUCCCCAUACUUCCUCUCCCUGCCAUAACAGGGCUAAACAUGCCAUCAAUCAGAAAACCAACACAGCAAGACCUUGGGAGAAAUCACUCUAUAGAGGUGACCAAUGAUUUGACAGAUUCAUUAACAUUAGCACCUGCUGUCACUGUGAGGAUCACAUUUUUUUUAAAUAGAUACAAUUUAACGAGGAUGUAAUUGCUACAAUCAGAUUAUUCUUUAUGUGUCCAAUAUAUGGAUCAUUACAUAAUGAUAAUUUUAUGGAUAAUAAUAAUUUUGCCUCAGAUGUUGCUUUUAUUCUUGUUGGUACAGUAUUUAAUAUUGUUUUACUAGUCAUGUGUACUUCAAAAACAUCUGCAGUACAGAUGAAUGAAUAUGCCAAUUUUGGUUUCUUGUUUUUCUCAUCUUAAGUUCAGUUCUCCACAACUGUUUGAGAUGCAACUUUGUCUAUUAUACACAUUUUUUCAAAAUAUUUUCACUAGUAUAUCCAGUCCAUUGAACCCACUGUUGGUCUCAUCUGCUAAAUCUGCCAGGACCUGUCUCCACAUGCAGAGGAACUCCCUAACUCACCAAGCAUUUGAGACCCAUCGGCUACUCUCACCUGGUUUAUGGAGGUUUCUGCACAUACUGUAGAGGGAAGUGAGGGGCAGAUCGGGCUUAUCAACCUGGGAAGGUAGCUUAUCUAGGAGAAUAAGACUCUGAUCCUAAACCUCUGCUGCCUUGUGGGAUAUCUUUGGGUAAAGAAAAGGCUAAGGAGUAAACUCUAAAAAAAUCUGGAGUGGAAUCCCUAAAACAGUUGGAUAAUCUAGGACUGAUCCCAGUUUUAUAGCAAGUAUGUUUUUGCUUAUCAUCCAUUAUACAAAACAUGUCUUAUAAUACCUGCAGCUCAUUGUGGUCUUUAGGAUAUCAUGGAUUCUCCCUGUAUCCACUCAUUUCAAAGCAGAGAAACAUAUCUGUUGCUUGACACCCGCAGAUGAGAUUUAUUUAUCUGUAACCUUCUCAAAUCAGCUUUCCAACCUCCAGAAGAUGUUUGCACUUGUGUGAUAUUGGAGGAUGUAUCAGAGGAAAAAUUUCGCAAAACAAAGCCAUAAACCAUGGAAGGAAAAACGACAAAGAUUUUUCCACACUGUGCAAUGAUGGUGAUGUCCAUGUGUCCUUUGUGUCUGUUCAUAGUUUCAACUAAGAGGUUAUUAUCUGAGCCAAACAUGGCUCAUAAGCAUACUGAGGUUUAUUUAAAGCAUUAAAUGCAGAAAAAUCCUUCCUCCGCCUUCACACUUAAAAAUAUUGUUUAUAUUGUUUAUUCCAUCUCCAGGCUGUAAUUUUCUAGAUGCCUUGGUGCUUAUUUUCCCCCUAGUCAACAGCAUCAUUCAACUGUAUUAUCAAAUAAAUAUAAGACAAAACCACAAAAACUUCAUACAACUGAGUUAAAUGUAUGAAAUGCUAUAUUUUGAUAUUCCAAUGGAAUCUUAGUAAGAUGUAAAGCACAUAUGAGAAACACGACUAUGUACUCAAGAAAUAACACCUUAUAGCAAAAAACACAAAAAGGGCAAAUUAAGGUUGCAAAGGCAACUGCCAAUGUAUUAGCUUUUUCAAAAAACUUUCAAGUUGUUGACUUAACAACCUCAGUAACGGUCCUUUAAAUGUCAUUUUAAAACAUGCAGUUAUCUAGGUUUUCCUAGGAACAGCAAAACCACAAAUCUAUUAUGUAUUUAAAAUAUGCUUUUCAGAGAUCCUCUGUGAGAGCUUUAAAUUAAAGAUAUAAAUAAGGAACUGGUAUUGGAGAUAUUAAUAUUGCACAGUUUGAAGUGACUGGAUGCAUGAAAACUGACUCCCUUUGAAAGGAAGCAUUGUUCAGACCGAUUAGAUAUUAUUCAAAAACUUUAUUUGCAGAACUUUAUUCAUAACAGAAUUAAAACAUCAAAUGAUACGUCCAAACAGUUUCAUAAAACAUAGGCUUCUCCAAGCAUAGGCUUAGCAUCAUCUUAGAAAUAAAAUAACUUGCCACCCCCACAAGCACGCUCGGUAAGGAUUAAAAACAGGGCCCUCUCUGUGGCUGGUCCCAGACUUUGAAACUCCCUUUCUAGAGAAAUUCACUGGCUCCCUCCUUGUUGUCCUUCUGUUCCAUCAGGCUUUUGAGAACAGACUGCAUUUAAUGAAAGGGCAUGCAAUUUAUAAACAUACAGAUGGAAUGAUAGUUUUAAUUCUAUCAAUGUUGAACUGUUUUUUAAAGACCCCAGCUAUGAUUUAGCUGUUCUUAUUUUUAUCUGGAAACCACCUUGAGUCCCUGUCAGGGAAAAAGGUGUGGGUAUAGAUAAAUAAAUAAAUUUGUACCACCACCACCAGCAGCAGCAGCAGCAGCAGCAGCAGCAACAACAACAACAACUGGAGUAGGUAGAAAUGACACUCUGCCCUGCCAAGUGCCCUGAAGAAAUGAAAAUACCCCCUUUCCCAGUCAUUAGAUUGAUCAUCCCCUUCCUCAGUGGAUCUACACAGAUAUGCUGAGAAGGUGGGGGGUGUUUGUCCCUGUGGGUUGGCCACACCCACUACUGGCAUGUGGUUCCAAGAGAGUUGGCCAACAGUUGGCUUUUGAGGCAGAAGUUCUUAGCCACCCGCAGUAUAGAACACCUUAUUGUUCAAUAUGGUAAUAUUUUCCAUUAAUACAGCACUAUCAGAAGUGGUUUAUCUGGUGGGGCGAAGCAAACAAAAAAAUGUGAGAGGAGCACUCCAGUAACCUAGGGGUAUUUUUUAAUGAAGUAUGUUUGAACAUGUAUAUAGUAUAAAAAAAUAAGUUACUUCCCUCCUGUCAGGGAACUGACAUCGGAGCCAGAGGCGGAGGCUAGGCUCUCAAGCGAUGCUGGAGAAGGGCCCAGCAGGGGGAGAGGCGGCUCACCAGCUAGGGAAAGAAAUCAGCGUAACACCAGGGAUAGAGGGGGGCAGAUGGGGGAAUCGGUGAGGGGGCUCCAGGACUCAUCGCCGGAGAUCAGCGAGGAGAGCACGGGUCCUCCGCUACCCACGCCCUCCCUGCGCAGAAGACUUCCGCGCAGGGAGAGUAGGAGGAGACUUGGAGUCAAAUAACUUUUAUGCUGGAAAAGGUUUAAGAAACGCCCACUGACGGAUUCUGCUAGCGACUGAACAGCCAUGAAGUGCAGGGCUGUCCAGACAGAAAAGGUUUAACAAGGCAACCUAGCCAGGAGUGGCACCAACUUGCGCACGAGCAACCCCUACAUUUAUGACACCUCCAAAGUAUGCCUUUUAGCAUGAAUGAUAGUACUUAGAGACGGAAAGAUAUGUACGUAGGCCGACAUGGUUGGGCUCCUAGGGGAGGAGUGAGAGGAUGCCUGGAGAGUAUAUAAACUGCAUGAAACCUGUCAUUUCUUUGGACUUGCUGUGGACUUGAUCACGCAAGUGCCUUCUGCUAUCCGGAGAGCAGAAUAAACUCUUUCUUUGAAGCAACCCCAGUGUCAUUUUGACUUCCUCCUGUCCUGGAGCAACGCUGACCCAAUCGGUGAAUUCCAAUAAGGCUACAAGAUCUACUUAGUAAUAACACACAAAAAUAGAAACAAACCCGAAUGAUACUAUUAAACCUGAGUGCAAAAAGCUAAAAAGCCUUGGUUUUUCAGUACAUUAAGCAAUUAGGAUCCCUAAUUUAAAAAGGACUAUUUUCCUCUCUCAUCAAUUUAAGCAGAUGUAAUGCUGCCGCUCUUUCACCUUCCCUUCGGCAAGUACGUGUUAGCAACUGACAAUCAUCAGACAAUCAAGAGUCCAUUUUCAUUCUCUUUGCCUUGAACCUAUGGUUGCUUUUGGAAGAGAGAUGCUUGCAUUUGAAGUAUGGGUGGUAUGAGGUUAAAUUCUCCAUGUCUAGGCAAUGAUGUCCUACCAAUCCAACUUAGUCAUGUUAAAACCUUAAUUUUUGGGGGGAAUAGAUAUCAAAGAGGAAUAAAAAAAUGUUUGCUAUAUAUUUCUUAUCGGCAGAUGCUGACUGGGAAUGCACAUCUUUGAGGCUGCAUUUGUUCAUAGGAACACAGAAAUUUCACUCCAUGAAAUUUAAAUUAAAUUGUCACAGGUCUAGGUGCUAUGAUUUGAAUUAACUUGGGCUGUUUCCUGGGUUGCAUGCUACAUUAAACACAUUAAUUUUAAAGCGGUUAAAGCAAAUAGAUAUUCUUGCAUGAUUUAUUUUUUUUAAAAAAACAGCAUUUUCAGCUCAGUCCUAUGGAUGCCUAGUUAACAGAGUUCCAUAGCACUCACUCCUAAAUAUGAAUGCAUAACACUUCAGUUUGCACUUCAGUUUGAACUCAGAAACAAAUUUCAUUCAUUUCAAUGGGACUUUCUUCCAAGGAUAAACAUGCUUAGCACAAUUCGUAUGGCGUGUUUAUGGAUUGAUUCCCCAAAGAGAUGCACAAGAUGGUAGUGUUUAUGUCCUCAAAUAACAUCCCAGUUUCUCCUUGCAGUCUGCCCUCAAUUACUUCCUCUUGGAAAAGUAUUUUUAGAACAGCAGUCAGUUCCAGACCCUUAAUAAAGCACUCCAGACCAAAAAUAGAUCAUCACAUGCCUUUGUAAUUUUGAUCUGUAUCCAAAUACUGAUUGUCACCUGUUUUACUCAAACUGUCACCAUGGAGAUUGGCACUUGCACAUCAAGAGGGCUAAAAGAAAAGGCAGAAAGGAGGUGACAUCCUUGGGAGAUGAUAAUUCUGUGAACUCAGUGGGUAAGAAUUUGAUGUACCGGUACAUUGUAUUUUCUCCUUUCUCUCCACUUUUCCUUUAUGUCAGUUGUUGAUGUGUUGAUGAAUAAUUGCAUUUUUUAAAAAAAAUAGCUUAUCAAUAAGAAGUAAACAAACAAACAAACAAACAAACAAACAAACAAGCAAGCAAGCAAGCAAACUCUGUUCAAAUGAAUGGCUGUAUCUGCUACUCAGAGGCCAACUGAUUGUAGAUAUUAGGGAAUAUUCAGUCAAAAGUUCUUCUAAAAUGCUAUGGACACUUUAGAGUUGGGAACUGCAGGUGCUACAAUCCUGUUGUGUCCAUGCUCUCACCUUCCACUGCCUCAGACUCAACAUUUUAUCAUGCAUUUUGCAAUUGAGUACACAAAAGGAAUAAUUUCCCAUGCAGUGACAAAUACAUUUCGUAGCCCAGAACUCUGUGUUAUUGCCAAGUGGAGGGGCGGAUGUUUCCCUGUUUUUUAACAUUUCACACAUAACGUCAAUCAAAGGUGCUGGGCCACCUGAUGGUAAAUCCUUAAAGUUCUCCUUGACGCCAAUUAGUUACUCAUUUAUUUACUCAUUAACAGACUUCAGUCACCUUGUCAUGUUCUCAAUCAGGAUUGAUUACAAGGCUCUUUUCCAGUCCUUUGGGAAUCCCAUAGCUUAUGUGUUAUGUAAACAUCCAAGGGAGCCCAGUCAUGGGAGUAGAAAUUAUUGAUCUUUCUAGAAGCAAUGUUGGAGAAACCACAGAGCAGAAAGCAACUGCUUUGCCCUAGGCAAUUGCACAGGAAGCCUGAUAUUAUAGAAGCGGCUUAGUUGCUACUCCUCUGCAACUACAGUAUCGUAACAUAGGAGAAUGGAAAGUACAGGACAGGAGAAUCAUAUGGAAAGAAGUGUGCUAUUAGUACAUUACUUCCCCAUCUGUUGCUGCUGAGCUUGUGUUUGGUUGCACAUUUGGGGUUGAUGGGGGAGUGGAUUCUGCUGGGCAGCUGUUGAUGAGUAACAGCAGUUAGAAUAUCACAAGGUCUUGAAACAUGUGGAUUGUCCCACUGCCUCCUCAUUAUGCGCCCAUUGACAAUAACAAUUGUCUCAGAGCUGCCCUGUUACUACCUAGCAUCUCAACCAGCCACUAGAACAAUGUAUUCAAUGCUAUGUGGACUACUCUAAGAAGGCAGUGAUUGAGGAAAGCUGCAUUUCAUCCAUUUCCUGCAGUUGUCUUGGAGCCAUCCAUAAGUAAUGGAAUCAAAGCCCAGAUCACCUCCAAAUCAGCUGGUCCAGUUUGAAAUUUGGCCAAAUCUGGUGCAGACCCAGCAAAUUAAAUGGUUAGUGGAGUUACAUAAAGAAAAAAGAUUCAAUAAACGACCAGUUGAAAGGCAUGAAGACAUUCCAGGAAACCUCAUAAACCCCUUAAUUGCUCUAUUUAUUAUAUGAUACUUUUUCUUUCUCUGAGAAAAAUUGGCUAUAAAUCCUCUAAGUAAAUAAUCCAGAUUCACAGGGAUGACAUUUCCCCCCACAUAAUGGUGCACCUUCAACAAGGUUCUGCACUCAUACGGCAGCAGGGUGGCAAAGUGUAUAUCUAUAGAUAUUAUGGAGGGUGGACAACCAGACCAUUCCUAUCGUGAGACUCAAGUGGCUUAAAAAAAAAAUAAGCUGAAAAAAUUAUACAGUGGUACCUCUGGUUACGUACUUAAUUUGUUCUGGAGGUCCGUUCUUAACCUGAAACUGUUCUUAUCCUGAAGCACCACUUUAGCUAAUGGGGCCUCCCACUGCUGCUGCGCUGCCGUCACAUGAUUUCUUUUCUCAUCCUGAAGCAAAGUUCUUAACCCGAGGUACUAUUUCUGGGUUAGCGGAGUUUGUAACCUGAAGUGUAUGUAACCUGAAGCAUAUGUAACCCGAGAUACCACUGUAGCACAAUUUUCACUACAAACUUUACUUCAUGUUAGUAUGGAGUAAAGUGUGACUGUGGGUAUGGAGCCAGGAGAAGGCAGUUAAUCCUAUUAAUUAAGGAGGAGAUCUUGUGUAAAUGGCACUACUUUCUUCUCCAAGAAGUUUGCUUACUACACCACAUACUUUUCAAAAGCAGCAGCCUAUGAAAGAAAUUGGAGGUUUCUUUCUGCUACAAAGUACAACUGCUCUUUUACAGCUAGUCAUUAGUGGUUAGGGAUACAAUGAACACAUCUGAUCUCGCGGCAGUAAAUAUAUGGUGCAUAAAUGGGGAACUUGCAGAAAGGGUAAAUCUGUGCCAACAGUGCAAUCAGAAUGUUUAUGUUUAUCACAUCCCUUUAUAUAGCACAUUACAAAUCGGUCUUCAAACAGUUGAGAAUUGGUGAGAUGGCAGCCACCAUCCAGGCAAAAUGGUAAAUACUGCAUUGUUACAUAAGCACCUCAAUCUUUGAACAGUGUGAGUUUCCAGAUGUCCAGAUGCCUUCUCAGGAUUCAUGUUUCCUUUGGAAUCGAGGCACAGUGGAGACUGUUGUAUCUUUAUGAUAUAUGGUUUCUUUACAUAUAUUUACAAGGCUUGCCCCACAGCUAGUUUUGGAUUAUCUGUGCUCAGAUUUGAUUGGAAUGGUGGAAGGCUACCACAGUUACCAUUUUCUGUGCCUCUGUUGUUGCCUCCCACAAAUUCUUGCUCAGUUGAGGCUUGUGUAAAUCAUAAUCAUGAUAAUUUAUACCCCGACAAUAGAGCCUAAAGCAAGAAUGGCUCACUUGUGGUCCUUCAAAUGUUGUUGGAUGGGAUUUUCCCAUCACCCCAGAUCAUUGACCACAUUGGCUGGGGCUGAGGGGGGUUGGGUCACAGGUUAGCUACCCCUACAUAGGCAUGUGUGCUUCACAAAUGUCUCUAAAACACCCUUUUGAGAGAUGGAAACAUUUGCAGGAGUUAGCUCAAGUGAUGUGUACCAACCUGGAUGGAUUUAAAAGAGAAUUACACAAAUUCGUGGAGGAAGAGGCCUAUCAGUGACUAUUAACUGUAAUGGCUAUGCUUCGCCUCCACUGUUAGAGGCUGAAUGCUUCUAUCUACCAGCUACUAGAACAGCAGGAAGGGACAGCUAUUGUCUUUGUGUGCCUGCUGGAGAGCUCACUGUGUGUCAGUGGCCCCAGACAGCCAUUACCGGAAAGUCCCUUCUGAAGUUUUUCCUUAAAAUAAAAAAAUAAGAGCAGGAGAAAGUGAGAAAGUUCCAUAGGCUUACUUCAUACCAAAGCUGUAUCAGUUACUGCCAUGGAAACACUUAAUCUAGUAACUCUCACAAUAGUGUGGGCGGGGUAGGAUAAUACAGUUUUCCCUGUAAACCAGCAAAUAAAAGGAAACCCUAUAAUUUAACACAUUUUGUCAUUAAACCCUGUCGUUAACACCUAUAAGUCUAUUCUUCUACAUGAAGCAACCAAUCUGGGGUUUGGUCAAGGAGAAUGAACUUCUUAAUAUAUACCACCAGUGUGUUUUUCUUGCCACAUAGUUUUCGGAACUUGAGAAAACUUGUGUGAUAAAUACAUUAUUUUAAGUUGUAAGCAUGUGUUUUCUGUAGCUAGUACUACAGUUUGAAAAAGACACAUGGGAUAGGCCUAGUAUUUGUGAGGGCAGCAUCAUACCAUCUCAGCCUGGAUGUGGGAGCAAAUACGACUGAAUUGGUUCCCCAGAAGAGCAACAACACCAACAAACAAGCCCCUUUAUAUAAAACUACCACAUUGGAGGAAAGGUUAUUUAUUUGUUUUCAUUUAUUCAAAGGAGGAGGACAAGGCAGGGUGCACAGGGUUAAUGGCCAACAAGACCUGCUUAGUAGAGUUGGGCAAGCACCAAAAUGUUCUCUCUCACACACCCCAAAUUAUUUGCUGCCCUUUGAGUAGGUUUUCUGGGCUUUCCACAUCAGUGCUUGCAGGGCACAUAUCAGCUCUGUGCAUACUGUCCCUGAGUUUGCCCAUGAUAGGGAAGGAAGAGCUCACUUAAGAACACAAGAAGAGCCUGCUGGAUCAGGACAGUGGUCCACCCAGUGCAGCAUCCUGUUUUCACAGUGGCUAAUCAGAUGCCUGUGGGAAGCUUACAAGCAGGGCCUGAGCUUUAACAGCAUUCACCUCUCCUGAUGUUUCCAGAAACUGGUAUCUAGGAAGCAUUACUGCCUCCAGGUGUAGGUGCACAGCAUAGCUGUCAUGGUUAGUAUAUUUGAUAGCCUUAUGCUCACCUAGGGUAAGAGAAGUGUGUAGCAAGAAAAGGAUGUGUUCGGCAGUGGUGAGAAAUGAUAUGCUGAGCAUCUUUUCCCACCAGGAAUUAUGGGGUCCAAUAUUGCCAGUGGGCUGCAAUGCUCAGAGCACAUUUUUCAUCAGAAGAGACAGGUUACUGGACAUGAACAAUACCUUGGGAAUCUUUUCCUGCUGGGGAUAAUGGGUCUUGUAGACAAGCAUCUUCAUAUUUGGUAAGAAAAAAUAUUAUCAGAUAUUGUCAGGCUUCGGGGAAUCAGAUCCCUCCACCACUGGCAGAAAAGAAGCAGAUAAAAAGAAGAGUUAUUACCAAUUAGUUUAUUCAAGAAUCACAGUGAGAGACAAAGGAAUGUGGUCUCUCUCUAGAAAUUGCGUUGCUCCAAGUAAAGUCCCACCCCCUCCAUCUCUACUAUUCUACGUCACCCCUACGUCGGCUAAUCUGAGCUUUCCGUCACUGAGCUUUCUGUUCUACUAUCCUCCAUGCCCGCCAAGUCUUGGGGGAGGAGGGGUCAGGAAUGCUUUCCAAAGACACUGAGUCUGUCAGCUGUCUGCAAACCACUGUUCUAAAUCUAUGCUGUCCUGUCCUCGGAAAGGUUCAGGAGAAGGGGGCAGCCCCCACCAUUCUUCCUCAGUCCAGCCCCUGACCAAUAUGGUACUGCGUGUCCUACUUUACAAUGGACAGUUUUUAAAGGCCUAUUAGGGAACUGACCUUUAUUUGAAGGGCGAUAGUCCUAUAGCUGAAAAGGUCAUACAUUUCAAAGUGUUUGCAGUGGAGGGUCCCAAUGUCGGUCUGUUUGUUCUCCCAACCGGGCAUUAGCAUAGAAAAGAAAUCCUACCAUACUCCUUCCACCCUGGACAGCAUGAGGGGCAGGGCUGUGAAUGCAGAGGCGGUUCCACCACUGUAUUAAGCCCUUCUGCUUCUGAGGCUGAUGCUCUGGCAGGGUCAAUAUUGAAACCAUAAGCAUUUGAUCCACUGGUAGAUUCAUAACAUACAAAGCUGAUUUUGGUUCUCAUUGAUUAUAACCAUUUUAUUGCAUCCAUGAAUGAGAUCAGCUAACUUACAGCAUUUGUCUUAUUUAUAGUUUAUUAAGCAACAACAACAAAAUAACGACAACUUGAACAUACAAAGUGCGUGAAGCACAUUAAUCAACCUUGGUUCUUGUAAAAUUGUGAAGAGGGACAGUAGGAUAAUUUGAACACUAAUGUGCAUCCUGGCAGUUAUUUAGAAUCUGUUCCCUUUGGGAAAGAAAUAUGGUAGUACAGAGUAUAUUGUUAUUAAAAUUUGGCCUGGCUUUACAUGAAAGGAUGGGUUAAUAAGUUACAAAUCUGGGAAGAUGCUUCCGCUGACAUUUCCAUUUAUCUCUCAAAGGCAAAAAGUAAGACAAAUUGGAUGGCUCAUACUUGCUUUUUCUGCAUCCAUUUGGACUAGCGUGUCAAGAUGCUUGCUACUCAGGGGUUUAAAAUUGAUGUUCAUUUUUUUUCACCUGAUGUUCCAAAUGGAUGCAGAGAAAAUGGGAAUUAAAUGAUUGCUCAUAUUUUUAAACCAUCAUCCUAUAAUUUCAGCUGUUCUCAAAAAGAGGAUAUAUAUCUCAGUCUAAAGCUAAAAUUUAACAGUCGAGUGCAUGGGAGUGGGGAGCAGGCAUCACAAGAUGACUUGCAUUUAGUAUGAUUUGAGGGGGGUUUUUUUAUUAAAAAGGGGUAUUAAUUACAAAUAAAAUUCAUAGUAGCAUUGUGCAUCUACCUACAAACUCUCUUUCAAAUCUCACCUCUCUGGGUAUUAUUAGUUUAAUGGAUAAUUCUCUUUCCAUUUGUUUAUGUAGAAUUCUUAUAUCUCACUUUAUAGCCCCAAGAGGUUCUCAAGGCAGCUUACAAAAAGUGAUCACUAUUAAAAUAACACUAGUAUUAUUAUUAUGUAUUAUUUAAUAAAUUUCACCCUUCAUCUGAGGAUCACAGGGCAGUUUACAAUAUAAAUAUACAUAACACAGUAACUAACAAAAACAACACCCCCAGACACACAGUUUAACAGACUAUAGAUGGUUUAAUUAGCCAAAAGCCUGUGGGAAAAGGAAUAUAAUAUCAGACAGAAACCAGGCAGCAAAUGCCACCAUCCAUGUAACUUCUCCAGCCCACAGCCUCAGCUAAAUGUGAUUUAUCAAUGUGUUUUGGUUGUACAGUGGUACCUCAGGUUACAUACGCUUCAGGUUACAGACUCCGCUAACCCAGAAAUAGUACCUCAGGUUAAGAACUUUGCUUCAGGAUGAGAACAGAAAUCGUGCUCCAGUGGUGCGGCGACAGCAGGAGGCCCCAUUAGCUAAAGUGGUGCUUCAGGUUAAGAACAGUUUCAGGUUAAGAACGGACCUCCGGAACAAAUUAAGUACUUAACUCGAGGUACCACUGUAUUGUUGAGAAACAUGCAAUUUUAUGUUGGUUUCUAUUAUCAGAUUACUCAUGGAUCUGGAAAAUCUGGAUUGAUUGUGGGAAAAGUACAGACCCCCACUUGGUUGAGGAGGUUGUUUUCUGGAUUCCAGCAUAAAAACUGAGACAGAAUGAGCUUUGAAUCCACAUAUAGCCAGGUUUCUUCAGGCAGCAUUUUUGCCUAAUAGGUAACAAGAACUUGCCACCAAAUUAUUUGACUUUUAGGGUGAAAUCCAAUGCCAUCAGGACAGAUUUCUGCUCACAUAAUAAGAGUUCUUCUUCUGCUCCUCCUCCUCCUCCUCCUCCUCCUCCUCAGGAACUAUAAGUAAGCCACAACCCACAUCUCCCCUGGGUUCUCUAGUGAUACAUGUCUGUGCAGACCUUCCAAGUGUCCCUAUUUUCCAGGGAUGUCCCUGAUUUAGAGAAGACACCCCAAUUUCUUAUUUGAUCCUGGAAUGUCCCAUUUUUUCUUAGGAUGUCCCUAUUUUCAUUGGAGAAAUGUUGGCAUGUAUGGAGUUAUCUGACCCCUGAGCUAUCUGAAAGCAAUCCUGUAUAGGGAAGUUUUUUAAAUGUUUAAUGUUUUAUUCUGUUUUUUUGUAUAUGUUGGAAGCUACCCAGAGUGGCUGGGGCAACCCAGUAAGAUGUAUGCGGUAUAAAUAGUAAAAUUAUCAUUAUGGAAUGGGACGUCCCUGGUUUCAUCAGAGAAAUGCUGGGGGGUAUGAAACUCAUCCUUAGUAGUUUUAAGCAUUCAGAGUUCUUGUUGUUAUGCUCUGAAUUUUGAACGCUGAACACCCACCUCCCCACCCACUUGCUGGCUGUGUUCCAGAAAGCACAAACAGAGUCAAAUUAAAAAUAGCUGUAGCGCCAAUAUGCAACCCAAUCUACUGACAGAAUAGCCGUCUGUAGAUGUGUCUUGUAUCAGUGUCCCGACAUGCAAGCGCCAAAGCACCUCUCCACAGGUAAGAAAUGAGAAAUUUUCAGGGCUGUUGAACACCGCACAUUUUCACAGUGGAUCAAGACAAAACUAUUUAGUCCAGGUGCUCCUGUAAUUAUGUUACAUUGGAAAGCUCAAUAUUGUUCAAUGGGCCUCAAACUCUCAUGUCUGAGGUACAGAGACAAUGGAGCUAUCACUAGAAUAUUGUGUUGCAGUCAUGGAAUAAAAUACAGGUCAAAUGUAGGUGUUUAUACUUUUUCUUCUUACUAUGUCCGUUAGGAAGAUCUAGAUGCCAAGGUUUGUACUAAGAUGUCUCAGUUCCAAAGGAAGAUAUUGCAAAUAACUAAAAGUUAACGAUUCACAUAGAUUAUAUUGCUAUUGUGUGCUAUUAGACUUUUAGACAACAAAACAAGCCAGUGAGAUUAUCUGUACAUAACUAUUAUUAGAAUCAUCCUCUGUAUGGCUCAAAGGGAUGCUUGAGAAAUUUAUUGUUGCAGAUUCUGAUAUGAUCUGGUACCCAGUCCAAACUUUCCAGAGUAAUGUGCAUAUCAGAAAUUAAGCUACCCAUUAGUACUAGAGAAGCUUUUUAUUACAAUGCAUCACUGUUUUAAAUUUUAAAAAGAGAAAUGUUUGGUUAAUGUGAAUAUAUAACAACAAAAUCUCGAGUUAAUAUCCCCUAGAUGUGCUCAAUGAGAAACCAGCCAAAUUCUGUAUCAGUUCUGUAUUGCAGUAGCUAUCACCUUUAUUUGUUCUGCUUUACACUUCCUUUAACAGCCUAUAAAAUGUGCAUAACAACAAAAUAAAAGUCCACACAUUUUAUUCUUUGAAGACCAUUAAUGGUUUAACAUCUUCCCAUAUAUAUAUAUAUAUAUUCUUUGCAAGUGUUUGCCUUAGAUUUCCUUUACUUGCCCAUAUAGUUAGCACUAACCUUGGUGGUAACUAAAAAUAAAAAUAACGGCAAGUUAUUUCACAUGUUUGAUUGCAUUUUGUGCAGGGGUAAUUGACUUAUGAAUUGGUGUGGAAUUCAACUGAAUCAAAAAUUGACUGUCAGUUAGGCAACUGGAUUUUUGAAAGGCUAUGUGUAACAUUUAAAACAAUGGGAGGUUUCUCUAUAUUCCCCACCCCACCCCUGCUGAAAGCUUCCAUAUGAAACUACUCUAGGGAUGGCUUUACAACUGAAACUGAAACCAUUCAUAGGAUAACAUUAAAAACCUGAGGUACUACUUCUUGGCUAAAGUUGUUGCUGUGUGAGUGACAACUUUACAAAUUGGCUUCUGAAUUGUCUAGACAACUUGAACUUAAUCAUGGGUUCAUAAAAAAAGAAGCAAGAAAGAAUAGGAGUUAACUGCUUUGGAAAACAGUGUAUUGUGAUGCUGUGAGCUGCUGCAUCCACUUCCAACUUACUUUGUUCCUUGAUUCAGAAACUGACCUUGGGGCAAAUGUAGGUAAACAAGGAGAAAAGGAGGCCUAGUUAAGAGUGCAGUCAGAGCAUCUUUUCUCACCAGGGACUGGGGCAAGGAUUACAAAACCUAGAGUUCCCCCCAAGACACUGACAUGACAAGCAUCGUUUUCAUCCAGGAGAAGACCCUCUGAGACAAAGAUUCUCUACUAGGAUCCUGGGAAUCCAUGUCAUCAGCGUUUGUCCCUGCCACAAGGUACAUUUCUGAGCUUUGAGGAAUGGGGAGGUGGCAGCAGCAGAAGUGAACUACAGAUAACAUACAAGAACAAGAUGAUACAUUACAUCAGUGUCCUCUGUCAGCCACAAAAGAGCCUUCUCUUCCCAGUGCUAAUGGGUGCAUUGCUGGUGGUAGUGCUUUAGUUGUGCAUCUUCCCUCUGCAGGUAUCAUGGGUAAUGUCACAUGUUCCACAGCCUCGUUGGGAUCAUACAUGAAUUGGCAGGCUCAGACAGAGGAGGAGGAUGAAGGAGAAGGGGUGUGCAUUGUGGGAACUGGGGUUGACUCCAGUUAUUAUGGAAGGGGGAGUAAGAGCACCAGCUCUCCUCCCUUGCCUCUUCCAUAGAGUGUAGAGCCUCACUGGGGUUUGGGAAGGACCUUGACCAGCUUCUGGGAAGGAUGAGUAGGAGACAGCAGGGGAGGGCACAGCCUUGUCACUGAUGGCCAGGGACCACCUUUGUAGAUUGGUACAGACCCACAUGACCAAAUAAAAAUGCAAAGUGAGAGAGUCUCACUAAUAAGUUUACCAUGCCUCACCUUUAAAACUUUGACUGGAAGGGCAUGGAAGUUGUUGGGACAUUUCCAUUGCUUCUGUCCAGUUCUGAACUUCUUGCUUGGUUCCUGAAUUCUUGACCUCUAAUGCUAAGCCUGCUGCUGAGCCUUUACUGUUACUUGGCUAAAGAAAGAGCUUUCUCUUACUCAUAAAUAAUAGCCUAUGUUGUCAUCCUUUAGGUAAGAGGCAUGAUACGUAGCCAGAUUAAAAACUGCUAGGAUGUGUUAAUUAGGUUGAAGGUCAGGGAGAAAGUGAGGGGCAUUUUAUUUUAUGUGAAGAUUUCUAAACUACUUCACAACAAAAGGUUGACAAUGAAGUAAGAUGAAAUAGAAAGUACAAAAGGUUAGAAACCCAGUUAGCUCAAGACAAUAAAACUAGUGCAUACAGUGCAUACAAUUAUUCCAUAAAAUGGCCAGAUCACACUUCAAGGAAAGUGUGAUCUUACCUAAAAAUGUCUUUAAUGGACACCUAACUAUGAAAAUGUUAGGGUCUUCAUGAAUGUAAGUUGCUAACUAAUUCUAGAGGACUAAGCCCAUAAGAGAACAUCUGUUUGAUGUAAUAUACAUAGUAAAGGUAAAGGUAAAGAGACCCCUGACCAUUAGGUCCAGUUGUGACCGACUCUGGGGUUGUGGCACUCAUCUCACUUUAUUGGCUGAGGGAGCUGGCGUACAGCUUCCGGGUCGUGUGGCCAACCUGACUAAGCCACUUCUGGCAAACCAGAGCAGUGCACGGAAACACCGUUUACCUUCCUGCUGGAGUGGUACCUAUUUAUCUACUUGCACUUUGACAUGCUUUUGAACUGCUAGGUUGGCAGGAGCAGGGACCGAGCAACGGGAGCUCACCCUGUUGCGGGGAUUCGAACCGCCGACCUUCUGAUCGGCAAGUCCUAGGCUCUGUGGUUUAACCCACAGCGCCACCCACGUCCUUUGUAAUAUACAUAUGGAACAGCAAAUACCAACUACACUUUAUGCAUUGUUUGCUUACAUUUUUGCUUUGCACAUUUUUCCAGAGCAACACGGAGAUUUCUUGAAUCAAGAGACUAGAGAUACUUAAUAUGAUUGGAACAGUGAGUUUCUUGGACUAAAUCACAGCACACCAAGGCAUUUUAGUGCUGUUGCUUUGGCUUUUUUAGUUGCCAUUUUUAUUCUUGGCUUCUUUUACUGUGAUAUAUAUCCUGGUACCAAUUUUGAUGAAGCCGGUGGUAUAUAUGUAUGAACAGGGAUGCACAGCAUAUUGACAUCCGGGGCCAUCAGUUUCUAUACAGAGCACCCAGAGAUGCUUUGGAUGUUUUGGACUGCAACUCCCACCAGCUCCAGCCAGCAUGGUCAAUGAUAGAGAAUGAUGGGACUUGUAGUCCUGCCCAACAAAUCUAGACAGUGCCAUAUUGGCUACCUCUGCGUGAUCAACUGGAUCAGGGACCAUGUUUUUAUGGCAAAGCUAGCCCUCAAGUGGCACAUAAAACACUCAUUAAUCAGGAUUAGAAGUUAUUUACAUAACAUAAUUACAUGGCUCCAAUUUUUUAAAUAAAAAAAAAUGCGAUGAAACUCUCUACUUCAAAAAAAGAUUUAAAAUACUUUAUUAAUGGUUUUAUACCAAGCACUGUUAAGGGGGAAAUAUAUUUGAUUUUCUUAAGUGUGAUAUAAUGUUAUAUAAUUAGCUUCCAAUCACAGACAAGGCCCUAUUCAUCUGGAUUAGAUGGCAUUAGCAUAAUAGAAUUGCUUCUUAAGAAAAAGAAAAUGCCGCAAAACACUCAAGGGAGCCUAAAUACACCACACAGAUAUUAAUGUAAAAUUAUAAUUAAAUUGAAACUAUCAUAAAUUAGCCAUACUAUCAUCAUAACAUUUCAUUAGCCAACAUAUAUUCAUUGUAGUGCAUGGGCUCAACAAGUUUACACAUCACCCACUACAACAAUGCCUUGUUUUUCCUGUAACUUCAAAAUUAUCUUAGAGAUGGAAUAUAGGGCGAAAAGUUGUGUAUUAUCUCCUUUGGUAUCAUCAUUCCUCUUACCUAGACAGAUGCAGUAUGACAUACAGUGGGACCACAACCUACGCAAACUCCACCUAUGUGAUCACAGCUUUACCUGAAUUGCCCAUAGAUAGAUAGAUAGAUAGAUAGAGGGUAGGACACCCUGAAAAGUACAUUAAUUGGACCAAUGGUUAUCUCCUAGAAGUUACUUAAGGUUUUGUUUAAAUUGAGCACCAUUGCUUUCCUGUCUAUUUCCUCCUGAGUUGUUCUUUUAUUUUCUUACAUAAACAACUGUAAGAACUUGUUCCCACCAGAGGGGAUGCGUCUUCAUAACAUUUUUAAUACAAUCAAGAUUACUGCAGCAUAGUCUCUAAUUACGCUAAUACUAGCCCUCAGAAGACCUAGUAAAUUUACAAAGGAAGCAAGCAAGCAAAAAGGAACUAUGGACCACGAUUAUAACAGCAAGAAUGACAGUUACACAAAUGAAACCUUACAAGGUUGGCUCCAGAAUGCUGGACUCGAACACCGCUGUCAUUUCAAACUUCCAAGAGUGUAUUGUUUGGCUUCUACUGACCAUUAUCACCUUGUGUCUAUUUAAAUAUUGUCUGCAUGGGAGAUAUAAAAAUAGUCCACAGAGAUCUUUGUGAUACUUCAAUUUGCAGCUACUCCCAUAGCAAUAGCUUGCCAUUGGAAGACCACAGAAGAGGCUGGCUGCAUCUAAUUUGGGAAAUGGCUCUGUUGCAAUGUUUAACACAAUAGGGUCACUGUGUAGCACAAGUACUUUGAGACUGUUUGGAUGCCCUCCCCAGAAUAUGAAAAUUGGAACAGACAGAUGAUACGACAUCAACUCUCCCAUGUUUAAUUUUGUAAGGGUGUGAUACAAAAUGGAAGCUAAAGUUAUGGUUGCUUGAGGAUACAAGUAAACACUUCAGCAAGUUUUAACUGUAACUCUUUAUUGUGCUUGUACAAAAAUAAGAUUGUACUUUACACAGAAUCUACUAUUUGUUGUAUUUUGGAUAAUUGUUGUGUUUUUUAAAAACAGUUCCCUCUAGCAAGCUGGAAACUACAGGCAGGAUAUAGUUGUCUGGAAACUGAUGUAUGUCAACUACUUUCAGUCAGGUCUGACUAUAGUUUGCUUUUAAUUCAGUGGAUCACUUGUUAUUUUAUGAUCAAGCAUGAUAGAAACAUUCUUUCACAUAAAUACAUUUACAUGAAGAAUUUUGAGAAUGGUAGGGGAUUGUAUUGGAAAAGGAGAUGCUUUCAGGGGACGUAAAAUGGACUAUAAUGUGGAAUUCAAUUCCUCUAUUUAAUUAUCCUAUAUUUUUAAUAGAAGACAUAGCAACAGAGUUCACACACCUGACUUUACUGCACAGACGAAUGAGCCCAGCUAAAAUGUCAUUCAACUCUGGUUAGGACACAUGACAUUGAUAGAUGAAACCGAAAAUUGCCAAUUCAAGUUGACCCUUUCUUGAUAAAACAUGGCUGCUUUGAGCACAAGUGAGAUAACUACCUAAAUUAGUCAUCAUUAGAGUCCAGCAAACUCUGGGAAGCUUGACUUUCAGCUUUGGCACAAACCUGAACUAUUUUUAUUUGCUCUUCAAAAAUAAAGGGGAGAGGGUGCUUAAGCAAUACAAGUUAUAGCUCUUCUAUAGAUUUAUUCCACAAUAAAUUUGAGAUUUCUUUUUGAAAACUCCUUGGUGUAGUAAUCCUAUACAGAAAUCAACCCCACUGAAUUCAGUGAAAUUUACUCCAGAUAAUUUAGGUAAUUUACUCCAGGUAAUUUACUCCAGGUAAUGUAUUUAGAAUUGUAGCCUAAGAUACAAAUUUUUAAAACACAUUUUCCCCUUCUCCUUUCUUUCAGUGGUGAGCAUUGUAUAAGGGACUGCUCACUUCAUUUCUGUAUAAGCCAAUGAAGCUUCUGCAGUAUUUUGAGAGCUCUUGAUGAGGACCAAUAAACAUCAUUGACUUAGCAGAUGAUGAAUGACUCAUAACAAAAGGAACUGGUUUCAGACUGUGCAUGACAAAUUUCUCUCUCUGGGAGACUCAAAUCUAGUCUCGCUAGUUUUAAUAGGAUUUAUCACUGUGCAGACAUUACUUUCAGUCAUUUUCUGUGCUCAUAGGCUAUUUACCAUUAUGGUUUGCUAAUACUAUUUAGAAAACUAUUUGGCUACUACUAUUGAUCAUUUAUAUGGUACAUUUUCUAUCUGCAUUGCAGUGCUUUCCGCUCCUCAUUGUGUCUGCCCCUCCAGAAUAAUAAGUGUGACGUAGGUUACUAUCAUUCCUACAUUACAGGCAGUGAACAGAAUGUGAGUGAUGCUUAGCUUGUAUGAAUUGAUUGCAUAGACAAAGUUCAUUAUAAUUACAUUUACAAAAAGCAAAAAGAAAUCCUACACAAAAUACUAAAAUUAGUGCUGAGUCAGAAAUGUCCCUGGCCCCAUUCUUAGGUCAUGAAAAAGAGAAUUCUGGCUUCAGGGAAAGGGGAAAAUUGCAAUAUUAGGGGUGACUGGGUUUGGGAGCUUCUGCUGCAAAGUGGUAAAGGCUUGUUUCUUCACCUUUUCCUUUUUAUACAUCUUUCAGGUAGUUUCCCCACUGUAACAUGUAGUAGCAGCACUCUCACUUGCUGGAUCAUUUGCAGGGAAACCAAAAUGCUUGUUUACAAAGCUCUUGUACUACCAUAUGGACCACUUAUAAACACCAUCUCCAACUCCUCAAAAGUUUCCAUCAAUGCUGUCUCGGGAAAAAUUUACACAUCACUUGGGAAGACAGGCAAACUAAUGUCAGGGUACUGGAAGAAGCAAAGAUCACCAGUAUUGAAGCAAUAAUUCUUCAACAUCAACUUCGUGGGACUCGUCAUGCUGUUUUGAUGCCUGAUGAUCGUCUUCCAAAGCAACUACUCUAUUCCCAACUCAAGAAUGGAAAGCGAUAUACCGGUGGACAACAAAAGAAGUUUAAAGACCCUCUCAAGGCAAAUCUAAAAAAAAAAAAUGUAACGUAAGCACUGAUAACUGGGAAACACUAGCCUGUGAGCACUCCAACUGGAGAACAGACUUUACCAAAGGUUUUCAUGGACUUUGAAGAAGCACAAACUCAGGGAGAAAAUGAGAAAUGUGCUAAGAGUAAGGCAUGUUUGGCAAAAUCUCACUUGGCUACGAGUGAUCACCAUAGAAGAAAGAAGCAGCACUCUGAUCAAAGAGCUAAUAGUCCACACAACGACUCCUCUGAAAGGGCACUGAAAGGGCUUCCCCACAAGAAUCCUGAGAGCUGUAGUUUGUUAAAGAUGCUGAAAGUUGUCAGGAGACCCCUAUUCCCCUCACAGAGCUACAAUUUUCAUAGUGGUUUAAAAAUCAUCAUCACCAUAAUCAUAAUCCUCAGUCCCUCUUCACAGAAAACUGGGGGUCUCAUAACAAGUCUCAGAACCCUUAACUAACAGGAAUCUUGAGAGAAAGCCAUGUCUUUAAAGUAUUAUGAUACAGUGGUACCUCAGGUUAAGUACUUAAUUCGUCCAUUCUUAACCUGAAACGGUUCUUAACGUGAAGCACCACUUUAGCUAAUGGGGGCCUCCUGCUGCUGCCACGCCGCCAGAGCACAAUUUCUGUUCUUAUUCUGAAGCAAAGUUCUUAACCUGAAGCACUAUUUCUGGGUUAGCGGAGUGUGUAACCUGAAGAGUAUGUAACCUGAAGUGUAUGUAACCUGAGGUACCACUGUACUGCUUUAAAUGUAUAGUGCAGACAAGCUCAAUUUUUACCUCCAUGACAGAAUGCAACAUGGGCUGUAAAAACCAUGCCUUCACAUAUGCUAAUAUUUCUUAUCGCCUUGUUUUUGCUAUGAAAUCUAUCAGUGCUUGUACUUUCUGAUGGAUCAAAGAUAAGGGAUGGGUGGAGGAGGUAGGCAUCUAGCUCUACCUUCUGACUUGUCAGGCUCUGCACCUUGACCUUUGAUCUACCAGAAUCCAUUGGCAGGAUGGGUGAGACAUGCAUAGAGCAAUUCUGCUUUUUGAAAGCACCAGCUGCCAUGGCUUUCAGUGCACAACGCUUCACACCAUAGGCGAGCGAGUCCCAAAAGCUAGGAGGAAAACCAAAGUGCUUAAAUAAAAAGCAGCUUGGAAAGUCAGAAAGGGCAACCUUCCAUUUCAUUCAGUAUCAAAAAUUUAAAUAAAUUGUGCCUAUAGAAAUCCUUUACACAUUUUUUGUGACAGACUAAAAAGAAGAAGUUAACAGCUGUUAUGGCUAUAAAAUCUUCCUUUAUUAUUGGUAUACUAAUCCCAGGAAGACAAAUAAGGCUCAGCACAUGCCAGGGAUGCAGGCCUUCCAAUCAUAAAUGAAAGAUACAUGGCAUCAGUAAGGAAACCUAUUGGCUGUGUCAAUCAUCUUUUAUUUAGCAACACAUGUUGGUAAUGUAAACAGCAUGGCACUAGAUCCCUUUGGUAGGUUUAAAUGCUUGGAUGUGCAAAGCAAAUAAUAAAAGUAAAUCUUGUCAUGUUUGGUUUCAUGGCCCUAUAAAUAUGCAAUCAGUUGUCAGCACAACAGCUUGUAAGUUAACAAUAUCAAGUUCCCAUUUCCAAUAAAAUGUGGGAAGCAUAAUGUGUGAUUAUUUGCUACUUACAUUUCUCCGAUCUGAUUCUAUCUGCUGGAGAUCUGCUACAAAUAAGGAGACAGGCAGAAAUACAAAAUCAGCUUUUAAAAAUAAAACAAAACUUCAGUUUGUAACUAGGGCAUGAAGGUGAUAACUUUAUCCUGAAAUUUCUUACUUGCAUCUGGAAGAGAUGGAAGCUCUUCAGAUGUUAUUUUAACCAGGUCAAAGUAACAUAUGGAGUGGACACUCACAUAUGGAGGAUGUGAGUGUCCACUCCUGUCUCCAAUGCUCACAUCCUCACUUCCCCCACCCUGACCUUCCCAGCUUAAAGGGAAGGUCUUAAGUAGCUCUGAAGGGGAAUUCCUUGUGCAUUCAGGUGAACCUGCUUAGUAGCAUCUAGGUGACCAGAAACCCUGAUUGCAUGUGGUUCUUGGUCACAGGGAAGGUUCUAGGUUCAUUUAGGCAAAGAAUCAUCUUUCAGACCAUUCAAUUCAAGAAUGAGAGGGCUGAAGCUUGCAGGGAUGCGGAGGAAUAGAGCAAUAGUGCACAUUGUACACCUCAUCUCUUCUGUGAGUUUCUUUCUUUCAAAUGAAAUGUGGGUGGGAUUAUGAUGUGGAUUUGUAGCUGGUUGAUGACUCUCCAUCAGCAAAAGUAGGGUGCCACAGGUUUUUGUCCUAGGGCAGGUGUUGUUCAACAUCUUUAUAAAUGAUGUCAAUGAAGGUCAUCAAGUGUGCAGAUCACAUCAAAAUGGGUAGGAUAGCUAAUACUUUAGAAGAUUUUUAAAAAGAUUUAAGAUUGCCUUGAUAUUAUGGGGAAUUGACCAAAGCUAACAAUAUGAUUUUCAGCAAAGAUAAAUGCAACAGUCUGCAUUUAGGCAGGAAGAUGGCUAAUACUGCCAUCUUGGCUGCUGCCAGAGGCUCUAUACCAUUCACAAGUGCAAGAUCAUCAGGUAUAGCAAUUCCUAUCACUUCUAUCUAUGCUGGCGAAAUCUGAUACAGGUAGGAAAUGUGGAUUUUCUUCCAGAUGUUCAGAUCUUAAAAGGUAUGUGACCUGUGACAAAAAUGUACAAGUCCUGCAAACGAUGACUGUUAAGGGUCAAGAAAUUGCUUCAAUCCAAUGAACUUUGUUGAUAAUUUAUAAUUACAUUGCCACACAUCUCCUAUGCAAAGACAAGUGAUAGGAAAAUAGGAAGUUCAGAGCUAUCAAAAGUGGAUGAUCCAUGAAAGUCUAAGUCACAAUGAAAACAAAGAUAAAUUAUCUGAAAGAACACAAAACAGUUAGCUGAUUUGCACCCAGGGAAACUGAAUGACAAAAUACUCCUCCCAAGGGUUUCAAAACCAAUUAAAUGUUUGUGCAUGCCCUGGAGAAUGAAAUGAUGAGUGGAAGAGAAUAAAGAAUGUGACUUAAAAAAACCCCAACAACUCUCAAAAGAUGUGGUGUGGAUUAGAAGACUGGAGGGAUUUAAGUUUACUGCAGUACAAAGUUUUUCUUGCUUUGUGUAGACUUUGCUCCAUUUUUAUCAUUUUUAUCAUUUUGUUCCUCUGUUUGUUUCCCAUUCCUUUUGGUGUUAGCAAUGAUUACCCCAUAGCUACAAUGGUUCCCAUCUUUCUCUCUCUCACUUGAAGAAGAGAAUUAAAAUUUCACCUCAAGCAUUCAUGGUUCCAGAGAAUUACUUUCUGUGCAAGAAAACAACAAAGAAAAGACUUUUUUUUACUGAAGACAAGCUUUUAUAUUUACAGAAAUUAAAGUUGCCUUUAGACAAUUUGGCAUGGAGAGAUGGAAGAGGAUAUGCUAAGCUCAUUACCAAAGAAGAAAGCUUCAUUAAAAUGAAUUGUAGCAGCUCAGAAAUACAUAUUUGUUUAACACAAUAUAGCUUGGUUCUUUCAAAGAGUAUUAUGGAAAUACUGCAUUAUAGAGGCACAGCCCUGCUCUAUUCUCCUUGCACUACCCCUACACAUGAAGAAGACUCAUUACUAGUGCCUUGCAGAUGGCAAAUAUGGGUUCGUCACUAAUCACUUUGGAAGGAGGGAGAAAGAUCAAGUCUUCUGGAGCCUGGAUAACAGAAGUGAAAUAUUGUUCUAUGCGAGGAUAUGGAAACAUCUGUCCUUCAUCAAGGAAGAGAAGCUCUUCAUGCAUUAUAACAUCCCUUUAAAAAGCACACUCAUCUUGCCAAGAUAUAAACCCAUAUAUUUUUAUCCCUGAGAUUAAUUUAAAAUGUAUUUAUAGAGACAUCAUUUCUUAAAACUUACAUUGCUGAAGAUACUAAAUGUAAUUCUUUCCUGUUUAAAAAUAAUAACCUUAUUUGACUCCAUGGAUGUAAUUUCUUAUUAAAGUCUGCUGAAAAUUCACCAUAUGAAAUUAUGAGGAGUUUUCUUUUAAGGACAUCUGUUCCAUUCAUCUUAGAAAGGAAAAAUGACUCAGGAGAUGAAAGGGGUAUCUCUUCUUUCUUUCUUUUAGAAAGUACCAUAUUUUCAAAUAGGACAGCUAGGCAUACGCUAACUUUAAAAUGGUUUGAGGCUCUCCAUGGACAUCUAGCUAGUUUCUGUGAGAACAGGAUGCUGGACUAGAUGGGCCAUUAGUCUGAUCCAGCAGAGGCUGUUCUUAUGCUCUUAUGUGCAUUGUCUUCUCCUUACUCCUAGGUAUACAGCAUGAGGACAACGCAGCAGAAGAAAUUCAAGGGUGCAGAAUCCUAUUAGCCUGACCAAACAAUACAUUCUUUGACCAUCCAGUGACCAAGCAGUGUACUGACAACUAAACAGCAGCUACCCUUUGGGAGGGAUCAGCAAUACAGAAUAACCCUAGUUUCACUUGAAUAUCAUGGCUAGAUUUUCUUCAGCUCACUUAGUGUUGGUAUUAUGGCUAGAAUUAUUUCUUUUUGCUUUAUUUUUUUGUUCAGCCAUUUAGAGACCACUUUAUCCUUUGUCUCUAAGCAGUGUACCAGUG